UACGGAGGGAGCUAGCGUUGUUCGGAAUUACUGGGCGUAAAGCGCACGUAGGCGGCUUUGUAAGUAAGAGGUGAAAGCCUGGAGCUCAACUCCAGAAUUGCCUUUUAGACUGCAUCGCUUGAAUCCAAGAGAGGUGAGUGGAAUUCCGAGUGUAGAGGUGAAAUUCGUAGAUAUUCGGAAGAACACCAGUGGCGAAGGCGGCUCACUGGCUUGGUAUUGACGCUGAGGUGCGAAAGCGUGGGGAGCAAACAGG
rnacentral:rRNA from 1 species